UACGUAGGGUGCGAGCGUUAAUCGGAAUUACUGGGCGUAAAGCGUGCGCAGGCGGUCCGCUAAGACCGAUGUGAAAUCCCCAGGCUUAACCUGGGAACUGCAUUCGAGACUGCAUUGCUAGAGUAUGGGAGAGGGAAGUGGAAUUUCCGGUGUAGCGGUGAAAUGCGUAGAUAUCGGAAGGAACAUCAGUGGCGAAAGCGACUUCCUGGACCAAUACUGACGCUCAUGUGCGAAAAGCGUGGGGGAGCAAACAGG
rnacentral:rRNA from 1 species